rnacentral:rRNA from 1 species
GCUGUAAAACUAGCCUCACCAAGGCUUCCGUUGAAAACAAUUAUUACGGAACAAGAAGAAUUUAACCCCCCCCCAAAAAUAAAACAUUUUUCCCCCUUAGUAUGGGAGACAGAAAAG